CCUACGGGGGGCAGCAGUGAGGAAUAUUGGUCAAUGGGAGAGAUCCUGAACCAGCCAAGCCGCGUGAGGGAAGACGGCCCUAUGGGUUGUAAACCUCUUUUGUCGGAGAACAAAACCCGGGACGUGUCCCGGACUGCGUGUAUCCGAAGAAAAAGCAUCGGCUAACUCCGUGCCAGCAGCCGCGGUAAUACGGAGGAUGCGAGCGUUAUCCGGAUUUAUUGGGUUUAAAGGGUGCGUAGGCGGUCCGUUAAGUCAGCGGUAAAAUUGCGGGGCUCAACCCCGUCGAGCCGUUGAAACUGGCAGACUUGAGUUGGCGAGAAGUACGCGGAAUGCGCGGUGUAGCGGUGAAAUGCAUAGAUAUCGCGCAGAACUCCGAUUGCGAAGGCAGCGUACCGGCGCCAGACUGACGCUGAGGCACGAAAGCGUGGGGAGCGAACAGGAUUAGAUACCCGUGUAGUC
rnacentral:rRNA from 1 species